UGGCGGACGGGUGGGUAAUGUCUGGGAAACUGCCUGAUGGAGGGGGAUAACUACUGGAAACGGUAGCUAAUACCGCAUAACGUCGCAAGACCAAAGAGGGGGACCUUCGGGCCUCUUGCCAUCGGAUGUGCCCAGAUGGGAUUAGCUAGUAGGUGGGGUAACGGCUCACCUAGGCGACGAUCCCUAGCUGGUCUGAGAGGACGGCCAGCCACACUGGAACUGAGACACGGUCCAG
rnacentral:rRNA from 1 species